rnacentral:lncRNA from 1 species
GCAUACUCUCCCCUAAGUACCCGGCAAGAGUUAUCGUUGCAUCUGCAAUCACCCGAGCGAUGGUUCCCGCUUCUGUAGACAAGAGGCCACCGUUGUAGGUUCCACGUGAAAGUCUAGAUGACAUGACUCGGGAGAGGAGUGACAAAUUUACACCUGGUGCAAGGAAAACACUGAUUUAGCCGUUGUAGGUUCCAUGUGAAAGUCUAGAGGACAUGACUCGCGAAAGGAGUGACAAAUUUACACCUGGAGCGAGCAAAAACACCAAGUUAUGACAUAGGUGUGAGACCCAAAAAAAAUUCGCCAUUUCAUCAAGACGAUCACCACCUUCUAAGUUUUGUUAUAUGCCAAAGAAGUGCUAUAUAACUAUGAACACCACAUAUACAAAUGUUGGUGAACAGAAGCAGAUCGAUGAUUCAAAUUUAAUGGGUUCAAUUUUGCACUGAACUCAUUAUACUAUUAAAAUUAGGGCUUCAGAUUUAAUAAUUGUUGAGAUUUAAUAUGUUUUUACAUGUAUAUAAGCUCUGGGUUCAGAUGAGAGCAUAGUCAAAAGCUAAGUUGCUCCGACACAGUAGUUUAGGUGCCGCACUAUGUCAACACUAGUAUAGGUGCGGAUGUGAGAUCCGUACUAGAUCUGGUCGAACAAUUUUGGUACUUUGGCCACAACAGACGGAAAAAUUCGAACCGAGACACAAUUUGAUUACCGAAAUUAGAACCAAAACUGGGGUAAAUUUGAAAAGAAUAGCUUCCUUUACUUGUCUACAACUUUAGAAUAAAAAGGGAAUCCACACUUUACAAGCUAUACGUAAUUAUUUCACGAAAUUUCUCAUAAUUUAGCGAUAUUUUUAUAUUUAUAUAGUUUUAUUUUUUUGAAUUAUUUUAGUUGGAUCCACACACCCGUAUCUAUACUAGAUAUGUAUCCCCGAAUCUAAGAAUUUUCAUCUUGAAGGAUCCGACCACUAGAUCAGCACUCCUAUCGGAUACCCAUACCCGUAUCGGAGCAACUUAGUCAAAAGGCUACAUCCGCCUUUGUUAAUGAAAGAUUACAAC